ACACUUUACACUUCCUGUUUUUAAAGCUCACAUUAUUUUAAUUCAACAGUUCAUUUGUGUUUGAUUGUUUAAAUUCUGAUCCAUCCACUAAAUCCAUCCCAUAAUAAACAGUGUUAAAUUCCUACACUAAAACCUUCU